GAGCACGCGGGUAGUUAAGAUGUCAUAGAGUAUGUGAUUCAAUAGCAUAGUCUAAUGCUACCAAUGUUUGCAGGAUCGUAUUAUAAUUGGAGACUUCAAUGGGUUCUCCAAUGUAGAGUCCAAGUGACUAGAGUCCAAGGAGUGUUUGAGUUGGAGUCCAAUGCAGCCAAGAUGAUGUUUCUUUGGCUGCAGGUACUUCGGUAUAGUCGAUGGGUCGGUAGCAGUGUGCUUGGGAUGUUAUGACUGAAGCUCGCCGCGACAGUUGUAAUUGUCGGACCACGGGUUGUCCACUAUUUUAUAGGUUUGGUAUGGCUUGUGACGUUUGUGUCACUUAUUAAUUGUUAAGCCAUUAUUGUUAUAGUGUUAAUAAGACUCAAACAGAUAGAUGUUAAAUGGCUCUUUGUUGUAAUUAAUUUGUGAUAGAUGUAUAAGUUGUAAUUUCCGCUAUUCAGAUUUAUGUUUUCCGCUGCAUA